AUUGAACGCUGGCGGCAUGCCUUACACAUGCAAGUCGAACGGCAGCGGGGGAGAAGCUUGCUUUUCCUGCCGGCGAGUGGCGAACGGGUGAGUAAUACAUCGGAACGUGCCCUGUAGUGGGGGAUAACUAGUCGAAAGAUUAGCUAAUACCGCAUACGACCUGAGGGUGAAAGUGGGGGACCGCAAGGCCUCAUGCUAUAGGAGCGGCCGAUGUCCGAUUAGCUAGUUGGUGGGGUAAAGGCCUACCAAUGCGACGUUCAGUAGCUGGUCUGAGAGGACGAUCAGCCACACUGGGACUGAGACACGGCCCAGACUCCUACGGGAGGCAGCAGUGGGGAAUUUUGGACAAUGGGCGAAAGCCUGAUCCAGCAAUGCCGCGUGUGUGAAGAAGGCCUUCGGGUUGUAAAGCACUUUUGUCCGGAAAGAAAUGGCUCUGGUUAAUACCUGGGGUCGAUGACGGUACCGGAAGAAUAAGGACCGGCUAACUACGUGCCAGCCGCCGCUAACA
rnacentral:rRNA from 1 species